UGUUAAACCACCGGUUCUCGUCCGAUCACCGAAGGUAAGCAACGUCGAGCUUGGUCAGUACCUAGGUGGGCGACCGCUUGGAAAUACCAGGUGCCGUAAG